GACAGAGGUGCCAAGCGUUAGGCGGAAUCACUGGGCUUAAAGCGUGUGUAGGCGGAAUUGUAAGUACCUUGUGAAAUCCCACGGCUCAACCGUGGAACUGCUCGGUAUACUGCUUUUCUUGAGCCACUUAGGGGCUGUCGGAACAAACGGUGGGGCGGUGAAAUGCGUAGAUAUCGUUUGGAACGCCAACGGUGAAAACAGACAGCUGGGAGUGUGCUGACGCUGAGACACGAAAGCCAGGGGAGCGAACGGG
rnacentral:rRNA from 1 species